rnacentral:rRNA from 1 species
AGAGUUUGAUCAUGGCUCAGGAUGAACGCUGGCGGUAUGCCUAACACAUGCAAGUCGAACGAUGUCUUCGGACAUAGUGGCGGACGGGUGAGUAACGCGUGAGAAUCUGCCUCUAGGAUGGGGAUAACGGUUGGGAACGACCGCUAACACCCAAUAUGCCGUAAGGUGAAAAAUUUAUUGCCUGGAGAGGAGCUCGCGUCUGAUUAGCUAGUUGGUGGGGUAAGAGCUCACCAAGGCUUCGAUCAGUAGCUGGUCUGAGAGGAUGAGCAGCCACACUGGGACUGAGACACGGCCCAGACUCCUACGGGAGGCAGCAGUGGGGAAUUUUCCGCAAUGGGCGAAAGCCUGACGGAGCAAUACCGCGUGAGGGAGGAAUGCCUUUGGGUUGUAAACCUCUUUUCUCAGGGAAGAAGAUCUGACGGUACCUGAGGAAUAAGUAUCGGCUAACUCCGUGCCAGCAGCCGCGGUAAUACGGAGGAUGCAAGCGUUAUCCGGAAUCAUUGGGCGUAAAGCGUCCGCAGGUGGUUUCCAAAGUCUGCUGUUAAAGACUGGAGCUCAACUCCGGAACGGCGGUGGAAACUUGGAAACUAGAGUUCGGUAGGGGUAGCAGGAAUUCCCAGUGUAGCGGUGAAAUGCGUAG